rnacentral:rRNA from 1 species
CCUACGGGAGGCAGCAGUGGGGAAUAUUGGGCAAUGGGCGCAAGCCUGACCCAGCAACGCCGCGUGAAGGAAGAAGGCUUUCGGGUUGUAAACUUCUUUUCUCAGGGACGAAGCAAGUGACGGUACCUGAGGAAUAAGCCACGGCUAACUACGUGCCAGCAGCCGGGGUACUACGUAGGUGGCAAGCGUUAUCCGGAUUUAAUAGGUGUAAGGGGCGUGUAGGCGGGACGGCAAGUCAGAUGUGAAAACCACGGGCUCAACCUGUGGCGUGCAUUUGAAGCUGUAGUUCUUGAGUACUGGAGAGGCAGACGGAAUUCCUAGUGUAGCGGUGAAAUGCGUAGAUAUGAGGAGGAACACCAGUGGCGAAGGCGGUCUGCUGGACAGCAACUGACGCUGAGGCGCGAAAGCGUGGGGAGCAAACAGGAUUAGAUACCCCUGUAGUC